rnacentral:rRNA from 1 species
UACAGAGGUCUCAAGCGUUGUUCGGAUUCAUUGGGCGUAAAGGGUGCGUAGGCGGCGCGGUAAGUCGGGUGUGAAAUCUCGGGGCUUAACUCCGAAACUGCAUUCGAUACUGCCGUGCUUGAGGACUGGAGAGGAGACUGGAAUUUACGGUGUAGCAGUGAAAUGCGUAGAUAUCGUAAGGAAGACCAGUGGCGAAGGCGAGUCUCUGGACAGCAACUGACGCUGAGGCACGAAGGCCAGGGGAGCAAACGGG